rnacentral:lncRNA from 1 species
UUUUUUUUUCUUUGAGGUGGUAUAUUCCAUAAUCCAACUGCACAAGUUGCUUCGAAAAGAUGACCAAAAAAAAACAAUUUGCUUCAAAAACAAUACUUUAAAAUAAAAUAAAAAUGUAACAGUUGAAACCCUAAUCUGAAAAAGCCAAUCCAACCGUCAAAAUUUAAAAUUUCAAACUCGCGCUCCUCAUACUCCCCACUUUUCACAAAUCACAAUCUCCAUUACUCCCUUCCACCUUUCAUUUUAGCUUUCCCAUUUUCCUCUGAAUCAACCCCAUCAAACGCUCCCUAAAUUUCCUUUACUCAAAAAAAAAAAAAAUGGGUGCUAAUCAUAGCCGUGAAGAUCUGGAGCUUUCCGACUCUGAAUCCGAAUCCGAAUACAGUUCGGAGUCUCGGCAAAGAGAAGACGACGAUGAAGAUAACUACUACUCUGACGCCAAAACGACGCCGUCUUCCAUUGACAGUAAACAAAACCCCAAAACCCCAUCCUCUUUAGACGACGUUGAAGCUAAGCUCAAAGCCCUAAAGCUCAAAUACAACACUCCUCAUGCUAAGGCCAACAAUCCCACCGGUAAAAACGCCGUUAAACUUUACCAACACGUCGGAUUCAACACCGCCAAUUCGAAAUGGGUCGUCUCCGAUAAAGUUGCGACUUAUUCGUUCGUCAAAUCGGGUAGUGGUGAUGAGUCUGAUGAUGAAAAUGAAGAAACUGAGGAGAAAAGUUUUUGGGCUUUGCAAAUUGGGUCCAAAAUUAAGGCUAAGGUUGAUGAGAAUUUACAAUUAAAGGCUUUUAAGGACCAAAGGAGAGUGGAUUUUGUUGCAAAUGGCGUUUGGGCUGUGAAAUUCUUUGCUGAAGAAGAGUACAAUGCAUUUGUUGAUAAAUAUCAGAGCUGUUUGUUUGAGAAUACUUAUGGGUAUGAAGCAAAUGAUGAGAAUAGAGUUAAGGUUUAUGGUAAGGACUUUAUCGGAUGGGCGAAACCUGAAGCUGCAGAUGAUUCGAUGUGGGAGGAUGCAGGGGAUAGUUUUAAGAGCCCCGAGAAGACGCCUUUGAGGGUUAACCAUGACUUGCGGGAGGAGUUUGAGGAGGCGGCGGUUAAUGGGGGAGCUAUUCAGAGCUUAGCAUUAGGUGCAUUGGAUAAUAGUUUUCUUAUUAGUGAUUCAGGUAUUCAGGUUGUGAGGAAUUACAGUCAUGGGUUAAGUGGAAAAGGCGUUUAUGUGAAUUUCGAUAAGGAAAGGGCUAAUACUGUAGCUCAUUCGACUCCUAGGAAAGCUUUACUGUUAAGAGCUGAGACUAAUAUGCUUCUCAUGAGUCCAGUGACCGAUAAGAAGCCUCACUCUAAGGGCUUACAUCAGUUUGAUAUCGAGACGGGGAAGGUUGUUAGCGAGUGGAAGUUUGAGAAAGAUGGAACUGAUAUCUCAAUGAGGGAUAUUACUAAUGAUAGCAAAGGAGCUCAGAUGGAUCCCUCGGGGUCGACUUUCUUAGGGUUAGAUGAUAACAGGUUGUGUAGGUGGGAUAUGCGUGAUCGACAUGGGAUGGUUCAGAAUCUUGUCAAUGAAAGUACUCCUGUUUUGAAUUGGACUCAAGGGCAUCAGUUUUCGAGGGGAACUAACUUUCAGUGUUUUGCUACCACUGGUGAUGGAUCAAUAGUUGUUGGUUCACUCGAUGGAAAGAUUAGAUUGUACUCGAGCAGUUCAAUGAGAAUGGCUAAGACCGCUUUUCCGGGUCUUGGUUCUCCUAUAACUCAUGUGGAUGUUACCUAUGAUGGGAAGUGGAUAUUGGGGACAACUGAUACUUACUUGGUGUUGAUAUGCACCUUGUUUAUUGACAAGAACGGAAGUACUAAGACAGGUUUUGCCGGUCGCAUGGGGAAUAAGAUUUCCGCUCCAAGAUUGUUGAAGCUAAACCCUCUUGAUUCACAUAUGGCUGGAGCGAACAAGUUUCGCAAUGCUCAAUUUUCAUGGGUAUGAGUUCUCUCUUCUUCUACCCUUUUGUGUUUAUUUUGUAGCUGUAAAUGCAACAAAUACUUUGACUGUCAAGCUUAUUUCUCUUCGUUCAUACUUUAUACAUAAUAAAUUUUGCUUAGUUAAUGCUUUAAGGUGUUUGUGACAUCCAUAUUAAGUGUCCAAGUCCUUCUCUGUCUUAUAGUAAUACAACUCCCAUAUCAUAUGUGAUGUAUUUUAUAUUCAACCAAAGUUGUAGGACGUGUCAACAGCUAUAAAAUGUAAUAUGGUUUGUAGCUCUAGAGAGUCUAGAGUCAGGACAUCUUUGAUGAUUUUUAUCUCUUGCACUAAUAUAAAUUGCAAUUUGAGAUCCACCACAUUUAACUUGGUAUAACUUUCCUUAGUUUGGUAAAGCUUAAGUUUUUUUCCUUUUUGUUUAGCUUUCUUAUUGAAGAGGAGAUUCUGCAUUUGUGCACCUUUAUCUCGAAAUACAUGCUCUUUUGCAAUGCUUGCUUUGAGAUGGACAUGCUUUUGGAAUUCCUAUCAAAUAAUUGAGAGAGUUUGGUUGUGAUGAGAUUUUGCACUGUUCAUUCUUUUUUUUGCCAAUUGUUCUUGAUGAACUUUAGCUGAUAAGUUUUGUUCAAGCAUCGAGUCUGCUUUAGAUGGUUCAUAAGUCAUGUUGGACUGGAUUUAAAAACGACUAAGAUUUAGACUAUGAAGUUCUUUUGCUCUAUCAACUCAUAUAUAGUGAUGUUAAAAACUCAAGUUAGGGAGAGGAGAAGGAUAAAACAAAACUACCUCAUCCUAUGAGGAGCUAUGCUCUUAAAUCUCAGACUGACAUCACUUGGUUGGGGAGCAGUAUCAUACUUGAUUUAACAUCCUAGAUCCAAGUCCAACUAUAGAAUAAAAAUGAGAAAGCCUAAACUGCAGCUUGGAGAACAAUAAGUUAUGCAGGGAAUAGAAAUAUUUCCUGGAUUUGACAUUCCUCAUUGUUUACAGGAUAAUUCCACAUUUUCCUGGAAAGCUAAAUCCAAAAAGAUAAAAUGCGCACCCCUCCCAUUAGGAAAAGGAAAGUAGGACAUAGUCUCUUGAGUCGAUUUUAUGCAGAAUGCAUCCCAUUUUACCGUUUGAAAUGGUUGAUGUACUUCUACUAGUGUUUAUAUUGCGAAAGUAUAAAAAUUGGAAUUCAUUGUACAAUUCAAUUUAUGCUGACCUGUAAUUACUUCUCCAUUUAAAAAAAAUCAACUUAUGCUGACAUGUACUGUUUUAUAUAUUACACAACUUUAUAUACAAAUUUCAUAUAUCAUUUUAUUUACUUACUUUAUUGCUACCAUAAUAAUAGGAUAUUCUAGGACAAUUUCUGAAUCUUAAUGCUUAAACUGUCAAACUAUGACACAUAAAGUGACUGGGAGUAUUAACUAUAAGGUUCACCAGUUUUCUACUCCUGGACCUUCUUUUUGGUUUUGUUUUCUUCCUCAAAUCGAUGACUAGUCAGAUUACACCAAAAGAGGAUGACCAUGUUAAGCUUUGCAAAGUUCAUGCUACUUGAGCGAAUCAAAAGCUAAUCAGCCUAGGAAAUUUAUGAACUAGUAAUAUUCAGUAUCUUAUGCUGAAGAUAUUAGUUGACUUGGUUUGCCUAGUCCUCAUCCUCGAUUCUAUUUAGCCCCUUCUUCUCAUGCAUGUCAACUACUCAAUUGACUCAUAGCUCUUGUUUAUGUAUUGGAAACUUUAACCAUGUGUAUCUUCUGAAUAUGGGGAGAAAUAACUCACAUGCUUGCUGAAACGAGAAAACCAAAAUUAAAAUAGAGUAUUUCUAUCGUAUGAAAGUUUGUGGUCAUGAAGGAGGUCUCACUUACAAUGCUGUAAGUGCAUGUGGUGUCUAAUGCUCUGUUGCUGGAGCUCCUUCAGUAUAUGUAUGGGACCAGUUGUCUUUUCAUCUGGAGUCUUAAAUGCGUUGUGGAUGAAGUUUUUGCCAAAUAUAUUGCUUCUUUUGUCUUACCCUAUUAUCCCUUUUCAAGUAAAUCUUUCUAGCAUUUGUUGAUAUAAAUUGCGGAUUGUCUUGUUAAUUUUGUACUCGUCCGAUACUCAUCUUCUUAAUGUGAAAUAUUUUAGGUCACUGAGAAUGGGAAGCAGGAGCGCCACCUCGUUGCAACUGUUGGGAAGUUCAGUGUGAUAUGGAAUUUUCAACAGGUGAAGGAUAGUUCUCAUGGGUGUUACCAGAAUCAGGUGGGGUUGAAGAGCUGCUAUUGUUACAAGAUAGUUUUAAGAGAUGACUCUAUCGUAGAAAGUCGAUUCAUGCAUGACAAAUUUGCUGUAACUGACUCUCCUGAAGCACCCCUGGUGGUGGCAACACCCCUGAAAGUUAGCUCAUUCAGCAUCUCUAGUAGGAGAUUACAAAUUUGAACAUAGUCAUUUUGUUCAUGUAUGCAACUUUAUAGGUAUAUCUGGACCAGAAUUAGUGUCCCUUGCACUAAUUCCACAUAUGCAAGCCAUUUAAAGACUGACUUCUAGUUCAAUGUAUUACUUUAAUUUGAAGACCUGCAAAAGCUGUCUUCCAAUUUCUAGGGGUAUCCCCAGUGUAUUGUUGUAAUAACUGAAAGGAGCGGAUCUCUCUUGAUGAUUUCCGGUGAUUUGCAUUAUUGCUGUUACCUUUGGACACAUCCCUUCAGAUAUGAAACUAUUAGGCUAUUUUCUUGAUGCUAUAUGAUUAGUUUGUGAGGUAUUCCUUAUGCACUUUCCCGGACUUUGUUACAAUUUGACUGCAAAGAACCUGUGGCUGAGAAGAAGAGAGACUGAGCCCCUUCUAUCUUAUUUGUAAUGCUAACUGCUAAGUAGCCAACUUCUGUGUAUCAUUUGAAUUAUGAUCAUUUGCUUAUUGCCUCAUGACCGGUGCCCACCAGUUGGGUUUGUUGUGAGAAGAUGAUAGGAUAAGGUAUGGAUAUUGUAGUGGAAAGUAGCUUCCAAAUUGUUCCUCUGGCUGUAUAAAGCACUGAUAUCGGCCUGAUAAAAGAGGACAUUCGUUAAUGCUAUGCAGAAGCAGAAGAUUCAAGUUUAGCGAAGGUUAACAUGACUUUCAUUUGGGGCAAUUUUUUCAGAGAUUAAAAACGGUUCAAUCAGCUGGUCCUCUUUUUUCAGUAAGUUUCAAAGUAUUGAAUAUUGAUUCAUUCUCAUAACCUUAGGACGUUAAAGAAAAUUUAACACAAUUAAGACUAUAUGGCAUAAACUAGAGGAGAUGGAUGCAAGCAGGCAAUGAUAGGCUGUUUGUAAAGUAAAAAACUUCUGAUGAUGGUAUACAAUUUAAUGCCUUUCAAAUGAUACAAAUUACUCACCCAAUCUUUCAUUAUUCUGUACAAACCAGUCAGAAAAGAAAUAGAAGCCCGCACAUGAGCUUAACUUAUCAAAUCCUGCCAGCUUCUUGGAUAUUUGACGGACUACACUAUUUAAUUACAGAAUCACCAAGUUGAUGUUACAGCCAAACCAAUAACAAUCUUAUUCUCCUCCUAUAAAAUGCUAUCAAUCGAGUGAAUGAGAAUUAAUUUAAUAUUGUACAUGUAAAAGAAUACUCAGUAUGUACAUAUCGUGAAAGAUUACCCUUCCGCUUUAUCAACUGACACAAACACCCAAAAAAAUUGGAGAAAUAAUUGUUAAAAAUGACAAGAUAUAGUAAAUGCAAAAAGCAUCAG